rnacentral:rRNA from 1 species
ACUCAAAGGAAUAGACGGGGGCCCGCACAAGCGGCGGAGCAUGCGGAUUAAUUCGAUGCAACGCGAAGAACCUUACCUGGGUUUGACAUACACCGGAAAGCUGCAGAGAUGUAGCCCCUUUUAGUCGGUGUACAGGUGGUGCAUGGCUGUCGUCAGCUCGUGUCGUGAGAUGUUGGGUUAAGUCCCGCAACGAGCGCAACCCUCGUCCUAUGUUGCCAGCACGUCGUGGUGGGGACUCAUAGGAGACUGCCGGGGUCAACUCGGAGGAAGGUGGGGAUGACGUCAAGUCAUCAUGCCCCUUAUGUCCAGGGCUUCACGCAUGCUACAAGGGCCGGUACAAAGGGCUGCGAUGCUGUAAGGCGGAGCGAAUCCCAAAAAGCCGGUCUCAGUUCGGAUUGGGGUCUGCAACUCGACCCCAUGAAGUCGGAGUCGCUAGUAAUCGCAGAUCAGCAACGCUGCGGUGAAUACGUUCCCGGGCCUUGCACACACCGCCCGU